AGUGGGGAAUCUUGCACAAUGGGGGAAACCCUGAUGCAGCGACGCCGCGUGAGCGAUGAAGCCCUUCGGGGUGUAAAGCUCUUUCGGCAGGGAAGAUUAUGACGGUACCUGCAGAAGCAGCUGCGGCUAACUACGUGCCAGCAGCCGCGGUAAUACGUAGGCAGCAAGCGUUGUUCGGAGUUACUGGGCGUAAAGGGUGCGCAGGCGGUUCUGUAAGUAUGGUGUGAAAUCUCCCGGCUUAACUGGGAGGGUGCGCUAUAAACUGCGGGACUAGAGUGUGGGAGAGGAAAGUGGAAUUCCUGGG
rnacentral:rRNA from 1 species